rnacentral:rRNA from 1 species
UUGGAGAGCAAGUCUGGUGCCAGCAGCCGCGGUAAUUCCAGCUCCAAUAGCGUAUAUUAAAGUUGUUGCAGUUAAAAAGCUCGUAGUUGAAUUUCGGGAUCAAUUUGCUGGUCGUGCCUCUGGUACGUACUGGUAUUAUUGGUUUCUCCCUUCUGACGAACCAUGAUGUCAUUAAUUUGAUGUCGUGGAGAAUCAGGACUGUUACUUUGAAAAAAUUAGAGUGUUUAAAGCAGGCAUUAGCUUGAAUACAUUAGCAUGGAAUAAUGAAAUAGGACGUUUGAUCCUAUUUUGUUGGUUUCUAGGAUUGACGUAAUGAUUAAUAGGGAUAGUUGGGGGCAUUAGUAUUCAAUUGUCAGAGGUGAAAUUCUUGGAUUUAUUGAAGACUAACUACUGCGAAAGCAUUUGCCAAGGAUGUUUUCAUUAAUCAAGAACGAAAGUUAGGGGAUCGAAGACGAUCAGAUACCGUCGUAGUCUUAACCAUAAACUAUGCCGACUAGGGAUCGGAUGAUGUUAAUUUUUUAAUGACUCAUUCGGCGCCUUACGGGAAACCAAAGUGUUUGGGUUC